rnacentral:misc_RNA from 1 species
GAUGAAGAACGUAGCGAAAUGCGAUAAGUAAUGUGAAUUGCAGAAUUCAGUGAAUCAUCGAAUCUUUGAACGCACAUUGCGCCCCCUGGAAUUCCGGGGGGCAUGCCUGUUCGAGCGUCUCAGGGACGAACCCUCGCGCGGGUGUACGCGCGGUCGUGGCUGCGGUGGCGUGCCCGAGGCGGCGGCCACCGCGCUGGAAUCCAUGGGCGGACGCCUGCCGCGUGGCCGAGCGUGAUAUGACGCAUUGGCGCUCGCACGCGGCGAGGCUGCCAGCCCUGGCCCGUCUGUCGGGCGGGUGAGAGCAAGACACGUGAACUCCUCGAAUCAGGUAGGGAUACCCGCUGAACUUAAGCAUAUCAAUAAGCGGAGG